rnacentral:lncRNA from 1 species
CCUCGGCACCUUCCUUCCAUCCACUACAACAAAAAUAAUCUACAGCGAUAUUUUUAAAUAUAGGUAUAUAUCAAAAAAGUGCUGCUAACUAAAAUUAUCGAUACUUUUAAAAAAUGUUGCUAUAUGUGGGGUCGCUAGGUAUAUAGUGACAGUUAAAGAGUAUCGCUAUAACCUAAAAAAGUGCUGCUAAUUUAUCAACACUUAUUUAAGCAUUUAACAACCGCCGAAACUCUAUCUCAUUGGCUGCGGUGGCGGAGGAGGACGACAGGAAAGGCUCUUCGUCUAGAAUUUCAGUGGAUUGAGUGAAGAGAGAAGAAAAGAUGACAAUUGAUUUUUCUUUUUUUUUUUCUUUUCUGUUUGUAAUCGGGUCAAAUGGACUGGGUGUGGUGGUUGAGUAAAGUAAUCUUUUAUUUUUGGUUGGAUUGGACUUUAUAUUUAGGCAUUAGCAGAUAUUUUUUUAAAUUUUAGCAUAAAUAAGACACUUACUCAAAAGUGUCCCAAACAUGUGUCCCUAUAAUCUAAUUCUGUUGUAGUGAUCGACUUUUACUUUCUGCACAGCUGAUGAAAAACCAGUAUUCAAGAAAGAUAUACAAUUCAAUUACAUAUUUGCAAGUUAGUUCUUAUUCAGUUCGAAAUGAGCUCGAGAUCAAUAGCUCGUUUAAUAAACGAACGCAAACACG